CCAAACUCCAUUUUCUCUCCGCCCAAAUCACAAAUUAUGACCCAUCUGUUAUCGACCCAAAAGCCCUAAUCUGAAAUUGUGACUCCAUCAGGAUUUGCGCAAGUCUUGGCUAGGGUAAGUCGAUUUAACUUCUGCCAUAUUUCUUGGCUGCUUGUGAACAAUGAAAAGGGGGAUCCAUGUGUGUGAUUUCAGAAGAAGCAAUCACCCAGUUUGAAGCAUUAAUGGAGCAAGUUGAUGAAGCACUCGAAACUACUUUUCAGGUGAGGAGGCAACUAUGGUAGUGACUGAACCAAGUUUAAGAGUCAUGAGAGGGCCGUGGAUUUUGGCAAGCUCUGCUAGUGAUUGGUUGGGUCUUGAGCCUAGCUCUAGUAGUGAACUGAUUAUGGGGAGACCAGCGGGACCACAUUACUAGAAAUUCGGCAAAAACCGACCAAGGUCGACCGACCAACUUUGGUCGGUCAAAAAAUCGACC